UGAAGCAGGAAGAUGUUACACUGGGUUCAUCAGCUUGCUGUUAGCUCCUGUUCCAUGCCAGCAGGCUGCUCGUGUCAUCUUGGCUCAGUCCAGUGGGCAGGACCUUCCUUCCCCAUGCUUCCCACCCACUGACCUAAAAGUGUCCCUGUGGAGGGCCCUAUCCUUAAGAACCUGACAGAUCAUCAGCCCUGCCCUGAACCGGUUCCAGGAUCUGCAUCCUGGGAUCACAUGCCAGUGCUGAGAGGCUCCAGUGAUCCUGCCCUGCAGGAAGCGUCCCUGCAGCUGACCCAGCUGAGCACCAGCCCCACGGCUCUGCAGGGAAGCUGGUGACAUGAUUAAUAAUGCAGAGCAGCCUUUUGUCAAGUGCCACUCUGGCUCUCCAGGAAGAGAAGUGCUGCAUUCCAGGGCAUCAAUAAUUCAGCCAAAGGUUGGGUUUCCUCUGGGAGGCUUGGCUGGCCAGCAGGAAUGCUGGAUGCAUUAUCAAGGCCCAUGGGGGCAAGCAGGCUGAGCAGCACUUGGGUGACAGCCCCAAGAGAAACAAGACUGUGCUGGGCUGCAGUUAGGGCAGCUGCCUGCAUUCACACCUCCCCUUUCCCUAAGAGAGUUGGUAGAGACACUAGUGGCACAUCAGGAGGGUCAGCAAGUAGAGUUGAGCAGGAUGGGUCCCUCUGUAGCUACAGCAUCAAAAAGGCUCUGCCUAUAGCCCUAGUGACUUAAAGCCAUCAAGGUCAGGCUGUAGAACAGCACAUGAAUUGUUUUCUUUGCUAAAAGCCCCAUAAAAGUGAGUGCACUAAAACCCCAGUGCUCCCACUGAGCUAUGCCAACACCACAGCUGCUUUGCACAAUGCAGCACAAAUCGACUUGUAUCUCUUCUAAGCUUGUGUGAUUUUUGCAUCCCUGUCCCCUCCAGCUGGCCCAGGCUGUAUGUGACCUCUGCCAGGGUAGCUGCAGCCCCCUUGCAGAGAAUCUGGUGGCAGAGUUCAGGCCCUUGUACCACUUGCAGGGUCCUUAGUAAUGUUCCAGGUGGACAUCACUUACGAUUUUCCACCUUACAUCACAAAGAUCAAACCAGGACCAGGAGUCUUAAACCAGGAAGAGUUUCCUUCAUCUGCCACUAGAUUUGGGUUGUUGGAUUUUCUGAAGCCCCCAAACAGUUCAAAAUGCUCAGGCUAUGAUAACAUUUGUUCUUUGGGUGAUCAGAGGCAUGACAGAAUUAGUUGAGGCAAAUCUACCUCCCGCCUUGUACAGAAGCCACAGCUGCUCAGUCAGCAUCUAAAAACUACCUGAAUUUCAGCAGCUCUGGACAGGAUACAGGGCACGCUUCAAGUCUUUGGUCACCAGGAGUCAGGAGAGCUAGGCUGUGAGCCAAGUGAAACUGUGCUAGAGGACAGAAGGAAGCUGUAAACAGGCCAGCUUGCUUUAACUCAUGAGCAAGACAUUUAGGAGAGGAAAAAGAUACUGCUGUGGUGGGUUUACUUUCUCUGGAUUUCAGGUGCCUUCCACGCUGCUCUGUCACUCACCUCCUCAGCAGGGCAGGGGGGAAGAAAAGAAGAUGGGAAAACCCCUCAUAUAUCAAGAUAAAAGCGAGUUUGGUAAAGCAAAAGCAAAGGUCAUGUGCAGAAGCAAAGGAAAACAAGAGAUCUGAUAGUCUACUUCCCACCAACAGGCCAUGUCUGGCCACUUCCUGGGACACAGGGCAGUUGCUCCAGAAGACACACAUCAUAAAUAACCAAUGCUCCUCCUUUCUCUUAGCUUUGAUUGCUGAGCAGACAUCAUAUGGUAUGGAAUAUCCCUUUGGUUAGCUGGGGUCUGCUGAUCUGGCUAUGCCCUUCCCCAGGAUCUUGUCUACC